UCUCUCUCUCUCUCUCAUUUCUUCUCCUCUUCACUGUGGCCAGCAACAACCAGAAGGCCCCUUCCAUUUCUCAUCUUCUCCCUACCAAGAAACAUCACCAUUUCACUUUUAAAAAAAAAUUAACUAAAGCCUUUUGUCUUCAACCUCCAUCAUCCACCACUCAAAGCAACCAUUCAAAGGAAACUUUUGAGCAAACAAGAUCUCCAUGUCCUCUUUCUCUCUUCCACUGGUUAUGUAGUGUACGUCAUGCCUUUCUUUGUUGGAUUUGGAGACUUGGUGGUGCUGAAAAACUACAAGAGACAAGAGAAUGGCGGUGGUGUUGAUCGUUUGCUCCAUAUCGCUUGUCUCUUUUCAUUUGUUUUCAGAUCUGGCAUUCUCUCUUUUUUGUUCUUCAAUUUUUGUUUCUUUAAAAACUAAAAUUGCGCAGAUUUGAUUUUGAAUAAAUAUUGAAACUUUGUAAAAAUUUGAGUGACGUUCUUUAAUUGGGUUGAUCAUGUUAAAUGAUAUGCAUUGUUAUGUUAAUUUUACUUUCAGCAGUGGUUGAUGUAUUAAUUGUAGAAACAUAUAUACCCAUUGGAAUCUGAAAUGCAUUGUAGAAAACCCCAUGUUAGAAUACUAGUAUGAAAAUCUCACCACAUGUUAAACACCAGGUAAGUAAGCGUGAGAGAAAGUGUCCAACUUUUUUUUUAAUGUUUCUAGGCUUUCUAUUGCUUUUGUCUAACUAUGGUUUAGGUUUCGAUUUUAAUGAAGAUGAUGUUUUAAAGCUUUUGUAAUUCACUGCCCAGCAGAAGCAAGUUGUACAAAGAGGUGGUGGUGAUAGCCUGAUAGGCGGCCAGUUGACGAAUUCCAAGAGCUAUAAAAGUUCAUCUUUGUUAAAAUCAGAAACUAAACCAUAAUCAGAUAAUAGUAAUAGAAAGCCCAUAAACAUUCAAAAAGUUUAGUACUUUUCUCUUACAUUUGCUUUCAAAUUAAGUGCUGGCUUAAAUGCCGCUUCUCUUCCAUCGGUUUAACCGUGGUGAGAUUUUCAUAUAAGUGUUCUAUCAUGGAUUUUUCUACUAUCCAUUUUAGAUUCUAAGGGAUAUGUUCCUACAAUUACGUCAACCACUACAGAGAGAAGCAAUAACAUAACAACGAUGCAAAUCAUUUAGAAGAAUUUCCCAAUUUAAAGAAAACCAUUCAAAUUAGUACAAGCUUCAAUCUUUAUAAAAAAAAAAAAUCAAAUUUGUACAAUUUCAGUUUAAAAAAUGAAAAUGAAAGAAAAAAAAAAAGAGAGAAUCUAAGAUGUGAAAAAAAAAAUGGAAAGGGACAAGUAAUGGAGCAAACACACUACCAUUACCCUCUCUUUUUUCCAGUUUUCCAGCACCACAAGUCUCCAACUCCAACAAAAAUAAAAGGCAUAACGUACACCAAGAGAGAAGAAAUAGAGUGGGGAAAUAACAAAAAAAAGGGAAAAAAUGACGUUUGCACCGCCGUCCAUACCACUACUCUCAGAGUUUAGUUCGUAGACAAGUCAAAUCUAGUUGCUCAUUCUCUAGCUCAGGCAUCUAGAUUUCCUGCUAACAUAUAUCUUUAAUAGUAUUCCGAGUUGUAUUCUAGUUAUUAUUAUUAAUGAAAUGAUAUGAGUAUCUUGCAUUAAAAAAAAAGGUGUUUUACUUA